rnacentral:rRNA from 1 species
GACAGAGGUGCCGAGCGUUAGGCGGAAUUACUGGGCGUAAAGCGCACGUAGGCGGCUAUUCAAGUCAGAGGUGAAAGCCCGGGGCUCAACCCCGGAACUGCCUUUGAAACUAGGUAGCUAGAAUCUUGGAGAGGUCAGUGGAAUUCCGAGUGUAGAGGUGAAAUUCGUAGAUAUUCGGAAGAACACCAGCGGCGAAGGCGACUGACUGGACAAGUAUUGACGCUGAGGUGCGAAAGCGUGGGGAGCAAACAGG